GAUGAACGCUGGCGGCGUGCCUAAUACAUGCAAGUCGAGCGAACGGACGAGAAGCUUGCUUCUCUGAUGUUAGCGGCGGACGGGUGAGUAACACGUGGAUAACCUACCUAUAAGGCUGGGAUAACUUCGGGAAACCGGAGCUAAUACCGGAUAAUAUUUUGAACCGCAUGGUUCAAAAGUGUAAGACGGUCUUGCUGUCACUUAUAGAUGGAUCCGCGCUGCAUUAGCUAGUUGGUAAGGUAACGGCUUACCAAGGCAACGAUGCAUAGCCGACCUGAGAGGGUGAUCGGCCACACUGGAACUGAGACACGGUCCAGACUCCUACGGGAGGCAGCAGUAGGGAAUCUUCCGCAAUGGGCGAAAGCCUGACGGAGCAACGCCGCGUGAGUGAUGAAGGUCUUCGGAUCGUAAAACUCUGUUAUUAGGGAAGAACAUAUGUGUAAGUAACUGUGCACAUCUUGACGGUACCUAAUCAGAAAGCCACGGCUAACUACGUG
rnacentral:rRNA from 1 species